GUUGAACGCUGGCGGCAGGCUUAACACAUGCAAGUCGAGCGGGGUGAUGGUGCUUGCACUAUCACUUAGCGGCGGACGGGUGAGUAAUGCUUAGGAAUCUGCCUAUUAGUGGGGGACAACAUCUCGAAAGGGAUGCUAAUACCGCAUACGUCCUACGGGAGAAAGCAGGGGAUCACUUGUGACCUUGCGCUAAUAGAUGAGCCUAAGUCGGAUUAGCUAGUUGGUGGGGUAAAGGCCUACCAAGGCGACGAUCUGUAGCGGGUCUGAGAGGAUGAUCCGCCACACUGGGACUGAGACACGGCCCAGACUCCUACGGGAGGCAGCAGUGGGGAAUAUUGGACAAUGGGGGGAACCCUGAUCCAGCCAUGCCGCGUGUGUGAAGAAGGCCUUAUGGUUGUAAAGCACUUUAAGCGAGGAGGAGACUCUUUUGGUUAAUACCCAAGAUGAGUGGACGUUACUCGCAGAAUAAGCACCGGCUAACUCUGUGCCAGCAGCCGCGGUAA
rnacentral:rRNA from 1 species